AAUAUAUGUAUUUCAAGCAAACUGGCCGAUUAUCAAUAAGCAUAAUUUAUACUUGACACAAGAUAUAUAAUCAUUUUUUUGUUUUAUAUUAUCGUUUAGGAUGUAAAGAUGAAGUAAAAAUAAAGUAAAAAUGUAGUAUGAAAUAAGAAAUGCUUCAACCAAACUCUAUAUCUCAUUACAUAAUGAAGUUUACUUCAUAAAUAGAGUAAUAUAUUUUUGUUUGUUCAUUAAUCCAUUAUGAAAUAAAAUAUGAAGUUAGGCUGGAGUAAUUUUACUUAAUUUUUUUUUUACUCUCCAAAAUGGAGUUUAUACAUUGAAAAUACUUUUACACUCCGGUUGAUAAAAAAAAAAAACUCUUACACUCCCA
rnacentral:lncRNA from 1 species